CUGUGUUAUGAAAUCAAGUACAAGUGUCCCCCUCUUCCGACACCCACGGCAAACAAAGCGAGACGCGAGCCACACCAACGAUCAACAACAACAACAGCAGCAGCAACAACAACAACAACACAGAGCUAAAUGAUGGAAGAGGAGCCGGAACGGGCCAAACGCUGGGAGGGAGAUUAUGAAAGAACUUGGGAGGUGCUCAAAGAGGAUGAGUCGGGGUCCCUCAAGGCGAGCGUGGACGAUCUCAUCUUCCAAGCCAAGCGCCGCAAAGUCUCUGAAUUUCAUGGACAAGUGCGGCUUGGGAUGAUGCGGCAUCUGUUCGUAGUGGUGGAUAUGUCGCGGGGCAUGGAAGACCAAGACCUGAAGCCCAAUCGUCUCACCUGUUCUCUCAAGCUGCUGGAGCACUUUGUGGAGGAGUACUUCUAUCAGAAUCCCAUCAGCCAGGUCGGAUUGAUUACGACAAAAAAUAAAAGGGCGGAGAAGUUGACCGAACUUGGAGGUACACCCAAGAAGCACAUUACGGCUCUUAAGAAAGCCACCCAGUCAACAUGCCUGGGAGAACCGUCUCUCUACAACUCGCUGCAGCUGGCUAUGGAGACCCUGAAACAUAUGCCCAGCCACACGAGUCGCGAAAUCCUGGUGGUGUUCGGCAGCCUCACCACAUGCGAUCCAGCCAACAUCUACGACCUCAUUCAGACCUUAAAGGCGGGGAAGGUGCGUGUGUCCAUCAUCGGACUCUCUGCGGAAGUGCACGUCUGCACGGCUCUUACGAAAGAGACCGGAGGGUCGUACCACGUCAUUUUGGACGAGUCCCACUUCAAGGAGCUGCUGCUAUACCACGUGACGCCCCCUCCUGUCAGCGCCAACAUGGACUCUUCCUUAAUCCGCAUGGGCUUCCCCCAGCACACGUUGGGCUCGGCGACGGAGAGCGACGCCAAGCCCUCCUUCAGCAUGGCGCAGCUGGAGAGUCAGAAGGAGAAGAAGCCAGGUGCUGUCCGUAGGAGGCUUCUUCUGCCCUCAGUGCCGGGCCAAGUACUGCGAGCUGCCCGUGGAGUGCAAAGUGUGCGGCCUCACACUGGUGUCGGCGCCGCACCUGGCGCGCUCCUACCACCACCUGUUCCCGCUCGACGCCUUCCAGGAGCAGCCGCUUGACAAGUUUACGGGACAGCGGGUGUGCGAAGGAUGUCAAGUACAGCUGAAAGAAAACAGUGUGUUCAUGUGCUCUUUGUGCGCGAGACCGUUCUGCCUCGACUGCGAUCUCUUCAUUCACGAGACCCUGCACUGCUGCCCCGGCUGCGUGCACUCCGACAAGCAGAACACCUAAGAGGGCCGCGACGGAC